AUACGUAGGGGGCGAGCGUUGUCCGGAAUGACUGGGCGUAAAGGGCGUGUAGGCGGCUUUAUAAGUCUGGAGUGAAAGUCCUGCUUUCAAGGUGGGCAUUGCUUUGGAGACUGUAGAGCUUGAGUGCGGAAGAGGUAAGUGGAAUUCCCAGUGUAGCGGUGAAAUGCGUAGAGAUUGGGAGGAACACCAGUGGCGAAGGCGACUUACUGGGCCGUAACUGACGCUGAGGCGCGAAAGCGUGGGGAGCGAACAGGAUUAGAUACCCUGGUAGUCCACGCCGUAAACGAUGAAUGCUAGGUGUAGCGGGUAUCGACCCCUGCUGUGCCGCAGUAAACACAAUAAGCAUUCCGCCUGGGGAGUACGGCCGCAAGGUUGAAACUCAAAUGAAUUGGCGGGG
rnacentral:rRNA from 1 species